rnacentral:rRNA from 1 species
AGCAGCAGCCACGGGAAUACGGAGGGUGCAAGCGUUAAUCGGAAUUACUGGGCGUAAAGCGCACGCAGGCGGUUUGUUAAGUCAGAUGUGAAAUCCCCGAGCUUAACUUGGGAACUGCAUUUGAAACUGGCAAGCUAGAGUCUUGUAGAGGGGGGUAGAAUUCCAGGUGUAGCGGUGAAAUGCGUAGAGAUCUGGAGGAAUACCGGUGGCGAAGGCGGCCCCCUGGACAAAGACUGACGCUCAGGUGCGAAAGCGUGGGGAGCAAACAGGAUUAGAUACCCGAGUAGUCCCUGUCUCUUAUAC